CGGCUUCGGUAUUGUCGGUAAUUCAGGCUUUGGCAGUUCCGGAAGUGGCGGCAACUCAACUUUCGGCAGUGAUGGCAAUUCUGGCUUUGGCAAGCUCGGUAUGUCAGGAAGGUGCGGCAAUUCGGGCUUCGGCAGUCCGGGCACCUCGGGCAACGUCGCCUCCAAAAUUCGGCUAGCGCCAACCGAGUUCUUGCCGAUCAUCAAGGACAGAGCAAAGACAAACAAUGCCAAAAGAUGUGCAAGUCCACGAUCAUUCGCCAUCGCAGGACCGAUCGACUAGCAAAUUUAAAAACUUCGAGUGAAGAAGCGACGGAUCUCAAGUGAGGAGGUGCAGGUGUGCUUGAGCAAUGGCUUGAUGGAGGGUUUAUAAAGAGGAGGGACGUGGGGAUUGGGGAGAUUACAAGUAUGGUUUGGUGGGAUUUUGUCGAAGUGUUAGUUCGACUUCUAGACCAAUCUCAUUUCCGUUUGUUCAACAACAAGAUGGAGCAGAUGAUUCCAGAAAGGACCUUGCCAAUUAUUGGCUUUCAACGCUUGUAAACCAUCAGUCGUGCUGGUAUUAUAUAGCUUUUGUUUUGGUUUUCCUAUAAAUAGUUAAUUGGUAACCGUACUUCUAUCAUGAACUACGAUCAUUGUAAAUGAUAUCCUAAAAAUGACCAUCCCGACACACGCAAGCUGAUUUACAUAUGAAAUGAAAAAACUGAGACUAGGUAAAACUAUCUAGAACUAACGUCUUGAAAUAUCUUUUCCGCAAUCCAUCUCAUGUGAUGGAAUGAUAGCCAAGCUUGCAAGGUUUUUCAAUUAUUUGAUAAAUUUUAUACUAUGUUCUUUGACUAGUAGUACACGUGAUUGAUGAACGAAUUAAAGAUCAACAAAUAUUUGAUAACCAACGCAAUACAACCAGAGAAGUCUCAAAACAUAUCUCAAAUCUGAUAUAAUCGUAUGCUUUUAUGGAGCAGAAUAUAAAGUAUAUAUGUAUCUAUUGCGGACCGGUUUGAAAUUGGUCUACUAUCUUAUAAUGACAUUCGAAAAUUAAAUGAAAAACUUCUUUUCUUACCGAAAUUGAAUCUUGAGAAUUUUUCAAGGAAAGUAAAAAUAUAAAGAAAAAAACUCAAAAAGUUCUUUACCGGAAUACAUAUGUGAAAAGUAAGUCCAUUCAAUUUAACGAGAAAGAUUCUUUUCUUUUUCCAAAUAGAUUGAUAAGAUUUUUUGCGGAAAGUAACAAUUUAAAGGAAAGUAUCUUAAGUCUCAAUCUAAAUAUAUUUAGGUGAUAUUGUGUAGUAUUAUGUUUAGACAGAAGUCUUUUUAUUUUUUUCAAGGAAAUUUUGAGAGAGAAGAAUAUUAAAGAUUAACAUAUAUAUCAAAUAUUAUUUAAUGUAAUAAUGAAUGAGAAAAUGUCUAUGAUUAUUAAUUUAAGUAAAAUUGACUAUAUGAGCACGAUAAAUGAUGUGAUAUAUAAAAAAAAGUGUAAAUAUAUCUAUAUUUGAGAGAGAGAGAGAGAGGGAGGGAGAUUAACUUUUCACCCGAAUUAGAAGUUUGAGCUAAAUAGAUUGACAUUAUGCAAAAAAAUAUAUCAAGAAUAGAAAAAAAAAUGAUCUAUAAUGGCUAAGUUGUCUAUACAAUACAAUGUAUGCCAUGUUAUAGAAAACAUCGAUAAUAUUUAACGCAUAUCGAUACUAUAACAUAGAUCUUAAAAUUACUUCGGUUCAAUUCAAUACAAAAUGAAAUAAAAACAACUAUUAGAGUUAAUUUUACUUAAUUGAAGAAUGAUGAUUGCUUGAAACAUAAAAAAAUAGUUGUGUCAAAUUAAAAGGGAAAAUACUCUAUUAUAAAUUCAAGUUUAGUAAAUAAGAUGUUCAAUAAGUGGAUUUAUAAUUUAUAUGUAAGAUAAAUGAACCUAUAUCACUCGAUCAUAUAACAAACAUGUAAUUUUGCUGAUUUUUUUCUUCAAAUAUUUAAAUUCUAUGAUAAGUUAAAUGUGUAUAAAGUAGAUAAUGAGUUUUAGUAAACAUAAAUUUGAUAUAUUUUGAAAUAUAAAACACAUGAAGCAUAAGAAAGUGUACUAGUUUUUUAAGAAAGAGUAACUAUAGCAUACUCUGUCGACGUAAAAGAAGAGUUACACAAGAUAUCAUAAACUAUCAUACAAAUAAGUUCCAUAAUUCAUAUCACAAACUGUCAUACAAAUGACUAUAUAUAGCAUAUAACAUUCUGAGGUGAACACUGACCAUUACAAUAGAAGUAAUAGAAUACAAAUUCAUAUCAUAUUGAAUCCCGACUACAAGUUCACAUCACAACAGUUCAAGGACUAGUAGCAGCGACAGACAUGUCCUUCGGAACAGAAGGAAAUGUUGGCUUAGGGAAAUCGGGAAGGUGAGGCAAUUCAGGCACUUCUUGCAAUUCUGGCUUUGGUAAAGUUGGAAAUUCAAGCUUUGGAAGUUCAAGCACUUUUGGCAAUUCUGGCUUCGGUAUUGUUGGAAAUUCAGGCUUUGGUAGUUCGAGAAGUGGUGGCAAUUCGACUUUUGGCAGCGAUGGCAAUUCUGGUUUUGGCAGGCUUGGGAUGUCGGGAAGCUAAGGGCCUGUUUGGCAACGUGCCAAACAGUGCUAGAUUCUGAUUUUUUGUUCCCAUAAUCAGUUUGGGACGAGAAUCGCGUUUGGUAAAUUUUUUGUUCCCGGGAACAAUUUUGGACAAGAUUUGAGAAUUAAAAAAAAUUUGAUUCUCCGUCCGAGAAUCAGAAAAAGAAUCAAAACGGUGAAACCCUCGCUCUUCCCUUUCAUCAUCCUGGUUGCCGUCCAUCACCGCCCGCCACCGUCCGCCAUUACCCGCUGCCGCCGUCCGCCGCCGGUCGCCAGAGGCUCGCCAGGCCAGGGCGAGGUCCGGCGAGCUCGCCGGAGGCAAGCCUAGCCACCGGCGAGGUCGGCCUGGCCACCGGCGGGGCUGGGCGAGUCUUGCCGGCAGCUGGGCGAGGCUCGGCCUCGCUAGAUCUAGCAAGGCCGAGCCUUGGUGGGGCUGGGCGAGCCUCGCCUAGCUGCUAGCGAGGCUCGACCGACAAAGGCCAACCUUGCCGAGGGUCGGCGACCAGCCAUAUGAAGAAGAAGAAGAAGAAUAGGAAAAAAGGGGAAAAAAAAAAGGAAAAAAGUAAAAAGUAAAAAAAAUUAUUUGGAACAUAAUCAAUUAACACGGUAUUAAACGCAAUUCUAUUCCAGAAUAAAAAAAUUUGGACAGUUACCAAACGCGCUUUUUUACUCAGAAUCAGUUCCCGGGAACAGAAUAAAAAAUAAUCAUUUCUAGUCAGAAUCAGCUCCUGAGAACAGAAUCGUUACCAAACGCGCCCUAAGGCAAUUCUGGCUUCGAUAGUUCAAGCACUUCAGGCAAUGUCGUGUCCAAAAGUUGGCAACUCCAACGUGGUUCUGGCCGAUUGUCAAAGACAAAGCAAGGUUAGUGAGUCCGCAAUAGUUCGCCAUCGUGGAAUUGAGCGACUAGCAAACCAAUAAACCUUGAGUGAAGAAGCGGUGUGUUUGAGCAAUGGCUUGAUGGAGGGUUUUUAAAGAGGAGGGAUCUAAGUAGCACCGACAUAUGACACGGACACGCGACACGACACGACAUGACACGUUGACACGGCAUUUAUAAAAAAUAGAGAAUUUCAACACGUUGUGACAUGUUAUAUACUAAAUGAAUAUUUUUUAUUUUUAAUUAAUUUAAUUCAAAUUCAUAAAUAAAUAAUUAAUUAAAAAAAGAGUCUAUAAUGAAUUUACACUAAUAAUAUUAAUAAAUCAAUUCAUUAGAAAUUCGAAAGAUAUAAUCAUAGUUAAUGCGAAACAUGUUUUUGACUAUAACAAAAGUUAUUGAUGAAAUUAAUGACUAAUAAGAAAUUAGAAUCAAUUUAUUUAUAUAAAUCCACGAUUUUUUUACAAUGACCAAAAUUUAUCAUUAUUCAAAAUUCAAUACUUUUAUUUUUCGAAAUUAUUUUUUAAUCUCAUUUAUUUAAUUUUCCAAUUAAAAACAAAAAUCCCCAGAGGUCCACCCCUUCUUUCCCUCGUCCAUUUCCCUCGACCCGAAAUUUAUUUACUGUCGGGCACUCCACCACUCCUGCAAAACCACCUGGCAAAGAGGCUGUCACUUCCCUCCCCCCAAACUCAAAAAUCACGCCAUCAAUCCCCCCCCCCUCUAGCCACCCUCCUUUUCCUUCUCCUUCUCGCCGCUGGCCGCAUGACCCCCUCCCCUUCCUCUCCUCUUCCUCUCGAUCCUUCUCCUCCUCCUCUUUGCCGCACGACCACCUGCCUCUCUGCACGACCCCCUUCCUCUCCUCCUCCUCCUCCUCCUCCUCCUCGUUGCCGAUCCAUUGCAACAGUGGCGGCCCUCACUUCAGUUUUUGCUCUCUCUGACCGUCUCUUGCUGUUGCGGUGGUCCGUUGUGUGGCUUUGUCUCACUAGCAGGAGUUUGCUUUCUCUGUCUUCUUUCCCUCCAUCGUCUUCUGGACACACGUGUCGAAAUGUGUCGAGAAACGUUGACCACGUGUCCGACCGUGACACGCUCCGACACGUGUCGGACAUGACACGGAAGCAUGGGCAACGUGUCCAUGCCUCAUAGGGAGGGACAUGGGGAUUGGGGAUUGGGGACAUUACAAGUAUGUUUUGGUGGGAAAAAUAAUCUAAUUGUUGGUUCAACUUCUAAACCAAUCUCAUUUUCUUUUGUUCAACACAAGAUGGAGAAGACUCCAAAAAGGUAUCUUGCCACUUCUGGGCUUUCUAAGCCUGUAACUAUCAGCUGUGCAAGAUUUCUCAGCUACGCCGGAAAAAGAAACGAAAGGAGAUGGUUUAUGAUAUCACUCUAUGUACUAGGACGUAGUCCGGAGUUUUGGUUGAAGAAGUCAAUAAUUUAAGGAUAAAAAUCUAAGUUUUGUCAGCGAUCAUUGUACACGAAAUGUAUGCUUAUCUUAAACUUGUCUAAAUUUAUUAAGUGCAUUAAAUAAAUUCAUUAACCUUCUCUUCAGUUUUCCAUUCCCUUUCUCUAUUAUAUCCAUUCACGUGCACUCAAUACUUUCCAAUUUCAAUUUCUAUGUAUCCAUUUGCAUGCUAGAGUUAAGGAUGAUGGUCACUUACAUUCAAUUUUUUUUUUUGGGUAUGGCUGGCCUUUUUUUCACCUAUAAGAGGGUAGAAUAUUUCUUAUUCUGGUCUUUAUUUGCAUUUCAUCUCCUUUUUUUCUCCCCAGAAAUGGAUCUUAGUUGCAAAAUUAAUUCAUGAGAAAUCGAUUUUUCUUUUUCUAAUUUAAUCUUGACUUGCUAUUGAAUGGAUAAUCGGUUAUCAUCACUCCCAAUUAGAUUAGAAAAAAUGACUACAUCUCAAUAUAUCAAUUUACAUCCGAACUGUAAAAAAUAAGACUCGGCAAUAAUCUAUUUCUUAUGUAUGGAUCAUCUUUCUUACCGGUAUCUCGAAAAGCAAAUGAAUUUUUUUUUUUUUGGCAUAAACAUUUUUGUUGAGUGUCUUAAAAAAUUAACUACAUUUAAAAAUGCAGCAAACAUACAAAGAGAUAAGAGGAAUGGUGAGGGAUUUUGAUUUCACGUGAAUUAGCAAAAACGAUUGAGCACUUAUGAGCUGAAACUUUCUUCUAUGCAAUCCAUCUUAAAUGACAAUAUAAUAGCCAACCUGGCAAGGUUUUUUUUUUAAAACUAUUUAUGAAUUUUAUAUUAUGCUUUCCAGAUAGUAGUGUACGUAAUUGAUGAACAAACAAAAGAUCAAACAAAUAUUUAAUAACCGACUUAAUACUACCAUAGAAGUUUCAACACAUAUCACAAAUAUGAUAUAACCAUAUUCUUGCAUGUGGUAGCUUAUUAACUAUAAAUGUAUCUACAACACACGGGUUUGAAAACUAGUCUAAUAUAUAAUAGGGGCUUCUGAACAUUAAAUGCAUUCAAUUUAAUGAGAAACAUUCUUUUCUUAUCCAAAUUGAAGUUUUAGAUUUUCUUUUUUUCACUUGAAAUAGAAUUAGUCGCAGAAAAGAGUGGGAAUAUGCGAAACAAGAUCCAAGAAUAGAAAAAAAAAUGAUUUAAUAACAGUAAAGUUGAGUAUGAUCUGCAUUAUAUAUUAUUUGAUAGAAAAAGUACAUAAUGACUAACAUGCAUCAAUACCAUAACAUAUAGCGAAAAAUUACUUUGGUUUAAUCAGAUACAAAAUUUAGUAAAGUACAAAUAUUAGAGUUGAUUUUGCUUGACUAAAGAAUGAUGAUUGCUUAAAAUGACAAUAUUUGUGCCAAAUUAAAAGGAAAAAUAAUCUACGAUAAUUCAAUUUUAAUAAAAUAUGAUAUAUAAGAUGUUUGAUGACUUAAAGUGUAUUUAUAAUUUGUAUGUAAGACAAAUGAACCUAUCUCAGUCCAUCAUAUAAUAAAAGAUGCAUUUUUUCUGAUUUUUUCUUCAAUUGUUUAGAUUAUGUCACCGUUAUCACUCUAAAAUAUUAAAUUCCCAUAUAAGUUAGAAGUGAAAAAAGUGGACAAGGAAGUAACAUAGAUAUCUUCUAUUUUGAAAUAUAAAACUCGUACAAAACAUAGGGGAGUGCACUAGCUAUAUUAAAUAAGAGUAAUAAUAGUAUACACUAUUGAUGUAAAAAAAUAGUUACACAAGACAUCACAAACUGUGAAGGAGUUCCAUAAUUCAUAUCACUAAAACAAACAAGUAUUGUAUAGUGUUCUGAGGUAUGCUCAGACCAUUAAAAUAGAAGUAAUAAAAUACUGAAUCGCAUCAUGUUGUAUAACGACUCCAAAUUCACAUUAAUGGCUCAAGGGCUAGUAGCAGAGACGGCUGUGUCCUUGGGAAUCGUGGGAACGAAAGGCAAUGUUGGCUUGGGAAAAUUAGGAAGAUGAGGCACUUCGGGCACUACCGGCAAUUCCGGCUUUGGUAUUGUUGGAAUUUCGGGCUUUGGUAGCUCACGAAGCGGUGGCAAUUCGACUUUCGGCAGUGAUGGGAAUUCUGUCUUUGGCAAGCUAGGGAUGUCAGGAAGUUGAGGCAAUUCAGGCUUCGGCAAUUCCGGCACUUCUAACGACUCUGGCUUCGGUGUUGCUGGAAAUUCAGGCUUUGGUAGUUCAGGAAGCGGUGGCAAUUCGACUUUCGGCAAUGAUGGGAAUUCUGGCUUUGGCAAGCUAGGGAUGUCAGGAAGGUGAGGCAAUUCAGGCUUCGGUAGUUCGGGCACUUCGGGCAAGGUCGCCUCCAAAAGUUGGCGGGCUCUGACUGGGUUCUCACCAAUCGUCAAAGACAGAGCGAGGACAAACAAUGCCAAAAGGUGCGUGAGUCCAUGAUGGUUCGUCAUUGGAGAAUCAAUCGACUAGCAAAUUCAAAAGCUUUGAGUGAAGAAGCGGCGAAUCUCGAGUGAGAGAAUCUGCAGGUGUGCUUGAGCAAUGGCUUGAUGGAGGGCUUAUAAGGAGGAGAGACGUGGAGGAUUGGGGAGAAUGCAAGUAUGGUUUGGUGGGAAUAUUAUCAAAGGGUUAGGUCAACUUCUAAACCAAUCUCAUUUUUGUACGUUCAACAGCAAGAUGGAGCAUAUUAUUCCAAAAGGAGCUUGCCAAUUCUUGGCUUUUCAGGCUUCUGACUACCUGUCGAGGCCAGAAAGAGGGAGAAAAAAAGAAAAGAAAUGGUUUAUGAUCUCACUAUGUACAACAGGACCGGAGUCUUGGAGUCUUAAAAUAUUGGAAAAGCUAAUCAUGUAAGAGCAAAAUAAUAAAUAUUGUCCGUGAUAAUUAUUCGUGGAAUCUUUACUUGAUGUAAGGAUUACUCAAGUGUUAAGCAUGUAUGUUUUCGUCUGAGGCCUAGGUUCGAAUCCUCACAAUUGUGCAUUCUUUUGGACGAUCUUUGAGAACAUAGGUAUGUAUGAAUCCGAUUAUUUCUCAUUUGUGUCGGAUAAAACUACUCUUGCCGGAAAAAAAACAAAACUUUAGGUGACAAAUUUUUAGGGACAGACAUAAAAAGAGAUCCUUAAACAGAGUUUCUAGUUAGGGGUGAGUAGUUCUAAGGUUGGUUUAGGUUUCCACUUAACCAGAACUUGGAAUUUACCCUAUUGAGAUCGGUUUCCCAAUUUUUGAAACUUAAAACCUAUCAUGUAUAUCUUAAAAUUUAUGACCUGCUCUAUCAAUCGAAUCUAAAGUCUAUUAGGGAACCGGCCGAUUUCUCUUCUUCUUCUUCUUUUUUUCAUUUUUUCUUCAUUUUUCUUGUUUCAUUUUAGUCAAGCAAUAGAGAGAACAUGACAACAAAAAUCAUCAUUUGUCAAUAACAAUAAUCUAUAAAAUAUUAGCACCUAAAAUAAAAUAAACAAUAAAAUGUUGAAAACGCAUAAUGUAGAAUCCAAAUUUCAUGCUCUCAAAGGAGUCAAAAACCACGAUAAAAACCAAGGAGUCGAAUGAAGGAACUUUCUUUUUAUUUGAGCCUCGUGUAAGUUCAUGCCAUGCUCUAUUUUAGGAGUACCUUGGUUCUUGUUCUAGUUCUCUGAUUUUCAGUCUGAUUCGCUGAUUCUUAGUUCAAUUCUAUUCAAUUCUUAAGAAUCGCAUAAUACAAGUUCCAAAAAAUAUGAAACCGAAAGCUAUGCUUGUUAGAACCUAGAGAUAGGCCGAUUCCCAUGACCUGUUUGAUCUUUCUUGAUUAUACUUGGAAAAUUUGCUCACCCUCAACUUCUUGUUCCGUCCCUACGGAAAUAUUGAACGAGCCAUCGUUAAUGGUAAUAGUGUAAAUGAUUCAGUUUGGUUCGGUUUUUUCGGAAAACCCAACCAAACCGAACCGAUAAAGAAAUUUAUUGAAUCGAACUGAAAUUACAUCCAAAUCGAAACCGAAUCGAAUCGAAAUCUUGAUUCAAUUUAGUUCAAUUUUUACUUUUUUUUUUGUUUUUCUUUUCCCUACCCCUUUUAAUAAAUUUUUUAUAUUUUAGAAAAAUCAAAUUUUUAAUUAUUUUUUUCUUUUUUUCUUCUUUUUUCCUUUUCUUUCUCUUCUUCAUUCGCUAGUCACUAACUGCCACCGUGGCUGGCAAUUAGCCAAUGAAGAAGAAGAAAAAGAAAAAAGAAAAAAAAUAAAAAUAAACAAUUUAAAAAAAUAAAAUGAAAUAUUUUAGAUUUUAUUGGUUUGGUUCAAUUAACCAAACUGAUAAAAACUGAACUAGUUAAAAAAAUUUCGAUUUUUAAUGAAAAUCGAAUAGAUUGAGAAUCAAACCGAAAAAAAAAAAAAAUCGACAUUUUCGGUUUGGUUCGGUUUUUGACACCCAAGUGAAUGGGCUAGGGGAUAAAUCUAACAUGAAAACUUCAAGUGAAAUCCCAACCUGAAAUAAGAGAAGCGAAGCCCGUCGCAAAAAGAGAAGCCCACCUCCCACUUGAUUUUCUCCCGGCCUCUUCCUCUCCCUUUCCACCCUGCAAAAAGCUCAGCUCGAGUUUCUAUCGGUGUCUCCUUCGCACUCCAGCUGCAGCUCGUCGAUCUCGCGGACGAGAGCUUCUUCAGAUCCGGAUUCCCCGUCGGCUUUCUCCUUCACGGUCUCCGCAGGUCACUUUUCCCUCUCUCUCUCUCUCUCUCUCUCGCGCGCGCGCAUUUCUCUGGCCAAUGUGGGGAGACGAUUCGCGAAGCGGUCGACUGGGGCGGAUGUUUGGAUCGUGGGUUGUGGGAGUUACCGGGUCGGGUCCUUCGUUUCCCCUUAUCUUCUCACUUUUGGGGGGCAUAGCUCAUCUGGGUUGCUCUUGCCAACGAACUAACCCGGCGUGGUUGUAGGCGGUGCCGUGUCUUGUGAGUGCUUGCCCACCUUGUGUUCGCCAUAAUGUUUCACUGGAUUUAUGUAGAGGAGGAGGGUUUUCCAGACUCCUAUUUGCUUCUCUAAUUAUACAUUUUCACGCUUAGUAUUAGGUGAAAAUACCAUACUAAGCAUGACAUGAAAUGUUAGAAUAAUUAAUUAACUUAAUUUUUUAGAACAGUAGUUGAUAUUAGUCCCACAUAAUCUCACUGAACGAGAGAGAGAGAGAGUAAAAGCAGAGACGACCCCACACAACAUACCUACUUUGGCUGCCCAUCAUAAAUUAGAACGUUAACUGACAUGUUCUCGGCGGAGGCAUGGUGGCGAUGAGGUACUGAUGCUGAACUCCACUUCAAUGCCAAUGCCAAUCUGGGUUUUUUCUUCUUUUGUUCGUCUGCAUUAGCUCUUUCACAAGUGCUUGGAACUUCAUCAAUAACCAAUGAAACGCUACCACAGAAGUUUCUGACACCAUAUCUCAAAUAUGAUGCGAUCCUCAUCCCUUAUAUGUAGUGGAAUUUUAAGUACAGAUGUAUCUAUAUUAACACAGGUUUGAAAACUAGUCUGAUAUAUUCCGACCAAAAUGAGAAAAAAAAAACUUGUCCGAUAUAUCAUCAGCCUUUUGAACGUUACAUGCAUUCAAUCUAAUGAGAAAGAUUCUUGUCUUUUGCAAAUAGAAUGAUUAGGUAAUUUCAAGAAAAGUAGAGAAUUUAAAGGAAAGUCUUUGAGAAUCUCAAUCUAAUUACCAAUAUUUAGAUGAUAUUGUUUAUGACUUUGUGUAGUAAAGUAGAACAUGUAUAGAGAGAAGUCAAUAUACUUUUUCAAGUUAAAAGAAAUAAAAAUAGUUUAUGAUAUAUUCAACUAUCGUAAAAAUAUGAACUAUAAAUAUAUAUAGUGAAUUUAAAAUUUAAUAUAUGACAAAUGAUCAUACACUAUUCGAUUGUAUAAUAAACAGCACAUUUUACAUUUUUGUUGAUAUUCUUUUUCACAAUUUAAAUUCCAUGACUAUUGUCAUUCUUAUAACUCUAAAACUAUGAAAAGUUUUCAUAUAAGUUGGAUGUGAAAAGAAGUAGACAAGGAGUUUUAGCAAACAUAAAUUUCAAUAUUUUUGAAAGUAUAAAACUCAAGCAACGCAUGGACAAGUGCACUAGGUAUAUAAACAAAUUACAGUAUACUCUCUCCGUGUAAAUGAAGAAGUUACGCAAAGCAUCACUAACUGCCGUAAUAACGAUUUCCGUUAAGUCAUGUCACAAACCGUAAUACAUAUAAGUACACAUGGCAUAUACCAUUCCAAGGCAUGAUUAGACCGUUAAAAUAGAAGUAAUAAGAUACUAAAUCGCAGCAUAUUCUAUCACGACUCCAAAUCCACAUCAUUGCGGUUCAAGACUACGGGUCUGCAUGGUAACCUUCCACAGCCCAAAAAUUUAUAUUCUUCUCUUCCCCAGAACAAAAAAAGAAUAGAAACCCGUUUGAUAACAACAAGUUAAUUUUUUGUUCCCGGGAACAAAAUGUUAGCCCGGGAAUGGUUUUGGAAUAGAAAUGAGAAGUAAAAAAAAAGUUGCUUCUUGUUCCCGGGAACAAGUUUAAGAAAUAAGUGAAUUUUUUUUUUCUUUUAUUCUUCUCUUGCUAACCGCCAUUGACCACCGUUGACCACCACCCGCCGUUGUUCGCCGCUGCCGGCCGACCGCCGCCCGCCGCCGGCCGACCGCCGGCCGACCGCCGACCAACCGCCGGCCGCCUCCGCCGCCGCCGCCGGUCGCCGGAGGCCGAUCGACCGUCGCCGGUCACUACUGGACGCCGCCGCCACCGCCGGCUGCUGCCGGUCGCCGGAGGCCGACCGACCGUCGCCACCGCCGGUCGCCGCCGCCACCGCCGGUCGCCGACCGACCGUCGCCGCUGGUCAACCCCGGACGCCACCGGUCGCCGACCGACCGUCGCCGCCGGCCGACCGUUGCCGCGGCCACCGCCGGUCGCCGGAGGCCGACCGACCGCCGCCGUCGGUCGACCGCGAUCGCCGCCGAACGCCGCCGCCGCCGCACGUCUCCGCCGGCCGAGCGCCGCCGGCCGACCGACGGUCGGCGGCGGCCGAUGGGCCGUGCGGUAGCGAUUGGCGGCGAGAGUCGGCCGGCGGCGCUCGGCCGGCGGCGACGUGCGGCGGCGGCAGCGUCCGGCGGUGGCCAUGGUAUACCGGAAAAAAUAAAACACAAAUAAAUAUAAAAAAUAAACUGUUUUUUACCAAACGCAUUUCUAUUCUUUUUCUAUUUCUAGAGUAAAAAUUUUGUGUAGUUAUCAAACGGGUUUUUUUACCUAGAAAUUGUUCUCCAGAAUAGAAAUAAAAAAGAACUAUUUCUGAAAAAAAAUUGUUCCCCAGCCAAGAAAUGUUCUCAUGCGCACCCAUAGACAUGUCCUUCAGAAAGAAAGGCAACGUUGGCUUGGGGAAAUCGGGGAGAUGAGGCAAUUUGGGCAAUGCUGGCAAUUCCAGCUUGGGUUUUGUUGGUAUUUCAGGCUUUGGCAGUUUUGGAAAUAGCAGUAAUUCGACUAUUGGCGGUGAUGGCAAUUUCGGUUUUGGCAGGUUUGGGAUGUCGGGAAGGUGAGGCAAUUCGGACUUCAGAAGUUCAGGUACCUUAGGCAACACUGCCUCCAAAAUUCGGCGAGCUUCAACGGAGUUCUCGCCAAUCGUCAAUGACAAAGCAAGGACAAAUAAUGCCAAAAGAUGCGAGAGCCCACAGUAGUUCGCCAUCAUAGAACCAAUAUACUAGCAAAUUGAAAAACUUGUGAAGAAGUGGUUGAUCAAGUGUAAAGGUGCAGGUGUGUUCGAGCAAUGGCUUGAUGGAGGGUUUUUAAAGAGGAGGGACGUGGGGAUUGGGGAGAUUGCAAGUAUGUUUUGGAGGGAAAAUUAUUGAAGUGUUCGUUGAACUUCCAAACCAAUCUCAAUCUCUUUUAUUCAACAACAAGAUGGAGCAGAUAAUUCCAAAAAGGAUCUUUAUAUUCUUGGCUUUUUUAAGCUUGUAAGUGCGAGUUGUUUUGGACUUCCUAGCUAGGCGGGAAAGACAAAAGAAAGGAAAUGAUUUAUGAUCUCACUCUAUGUACAAGAGGACGAAGUCCAUAGCUUUGCUCAGAGAAGUCAACAAUGUUAACAGUAAAAUCUAAGUUUUGCCAGUGAUAAUUAUACAUGAAAAAUAUUCUUGAUGCAAGGAUUGCUCGAGUGGUAGGAAUAUUACUUCUCUUUCUCUGAUAAUUUCAUAAACUUGUGUAUCUGGUAAUUUCUUGAUAUGCGUGGGACAAGGCAGCAACCACUUAACACCAUUUUGGGCCUCAAUAGAGAAGCUUAUGGUCAAGUUGAGGGUAAGGCCACCAACUUUGGAGGGAGUUGGUGGCGUACAAGCCGACUUCGGAGGAGAUGUUAAUUGCUUCUUGAGAAAGUGAGGGUUUAAGAUCCACGAAAUUGCGAAGUUAAGAAGGAGAAGACUAAGCGGUACGGGAAAUUGAAGAACUGCCAACCUCCGAUGAAACUAAAGAUUGAAUGAAACAAUUCAAUUGGGUAAUUGAAGGACUCUCAGUAGAGAGCACCAAGGACAUCAAUCAAUUGGAUGGGGGAGAAUAUCACGGACCGGAGGUUCUCAGGUGCGAUAGGCUGAGGAGGUGGCAAUGUGACCGGGCGUGCCUUAGAUUUAGAGAAGCCCCGUCAUUAAUGGAGGUAUGUGGUAAAUGAAGAGAUAUAUAAAUUUUUUGUAUAUCUCCACUUUUUUCAUCCUAGGAAGAAUAGGUAUUCAUUACUAUGGUCUUUAUGUGUAUUUAAUUCUCUCUUUUCCUCUUCCCCUCAAAAAGAGCGGUCCAAGGGUCACAAUCAAUUCGGGAGAAAUUAGUUUUUCUUUUCUUUAUUUGAUCUUGACUUGCAGUUGGAUGAAUAUUUGGUUAUUAUCCUUCUAAAUAAUAUGCUGAAUAUUACUACAUCUCAAUAAAUAUACACGCUGAUUCACAAUGAAAAAAAAAAAAGAAUUGGUGAGAAUCUAUUCCUUAUUUAUGGAUCAUCCUUCUUAUCAGUAUCUAGGAAAGCAAUUGAUUUUUUUUUUUGACAGAUACUUUUUUUAUUAAUUCAAAUUCAAAUUUGUUAAGUGACAAGUUAACUAUACUUCAAAAUUUGGCAGAAAUACAUCGAGACAAAUAAAAAAUUGGUGAGGGAUUCUUUAUUUAUAAGAAGUAGCAAAACUGAUUUAGAGCUUAUGUCCUGAAAUUAUCUUUUGUGAUCUGUCUCAUCUUAUAACAUAAUGGUCAAGCUCGCAAGGUUUUUCACCGUUGGGGUAUUUGUGUCACCGUAGGCUUAUACAAGAUUUUUUAUAAUAUUAAUCUUAUGGAAAAAUAUAUAUAUAUAUAUAUAUAUAUAUAUAUGUAUCUAUUUUUUUACAAUAAGGAAAGAAAUCGACUUUUUUGCUUGAAAUAGAAAGUGUAACAAAAUAGACUGAUGAUAUACGAAAAUGUCAAUAUUAUGAAAAACUCUAAACUGAUACAUUUGUGACAAAUUUAUUUCUAUCUAAUUAUUUGACUACAAAAAACUCCAAACCGGUACACUUGUGACAAAUUUACCUAAAAUUAUUAUUUUAUUUUUUGUAAAGGGUAAGAAACCUAAAAUUAAUUUUUUGACCAUGAAAACAUUUAAAUUGGUACACCUAAAAUAAAUUUACCAAAAACUAAUUUGUUUGACCACCAAAAACCUCAAAGUGAUAUACCCCUAACAAAUUUACCCAAACUAAUUUUUUGACCACUAAAAAACCCCAAAGUGGUAUAUUUAGACAAAUUUCUUCUAUGUUAGCUUCUGUUAAACUGGAUUAACACCAUGAAAAACCGCAAACUAAAACAAACAGGGGGUAAAAUCCCAAACUAAUAUUUCUUUUCAAAUGUCACUUAUCAUCUAACUUAGUACUUUAACAGUAAAAUUUAAAAUAAAAUAAUGGAGGGUAAAUUUGUUAUAAGUAUAUUAGUUAUGGUUUUAGUUUGGGAUAAAUUUAUUACAUGUGUACUAGUUUGGGGUUUUUGGUGAUCAAAAAUUUAAUUAAGGAUAAAUUUAUCAUAAGUGUAUCAGUUUAGUGUUUUUAAUGUACCAGUUUGGAGUUUCUAUUUUUGAGAAUAGGAAAAUAGCAACAAAAAAAAAAGAUCUAUCAAUAAAAUUGACUAUAUCAUAUACAAUAUAUUAUGUGAUAGGGAACAUGUACAUAUUAAUUAACACCUGUCAAUCUUUAAUAUAUAGCGUAUAAUUACUUUGGUUCAAUCCAAUAUGAAUUGCAGUGAAUAUUUUUUUUUUUUUACUUAAUUAAAGAAUGAUGAUUGGUUGGAAAAUGACAAAAUAGUUGUGUCAAUUUUAGGAAAUAUAUAUAUAACCCAUGAUGAAUUCAUUUUAAGUAUACAUAUAAGACAAACAAACCUCUAUUGUCAUGAAGGGUUGAUACCUUGAAAAAUCUCAAACUAGUACACAUGUGAUAAAUUUAUCUUAAACUAAUUUUUUGACCAUGAAAAACCUCAAAUUGGUACACUCGUGAUAAAUUUACCUCGACUAAUCAUAAAAAAAAAUCUCAAACUAGUACAUUUGUGACAAAUUUAUCCCAAACUAAUUUAUUUGAUCGCCAAAAAACCCAAAUCGGUACAUUUUUGACAAAUAUACCCUCCAUUAAAUUAGAUUAAUAUCACAAAAAAUCACAAAAAUUGUAUUACGGUAACAAAUGGAGAAUAAAAUAUCAAAUUGGUACAUCAGUAAAUUGCCGCAUGUCAUUCAAUUUAGUAAUUUGAUAGUAAAAUUUAACGGAAACAAAUAGACAAUAAAUUUAUUACAAAAAAUUAGUUUUGGGUAAAUUUGUCAAGAGUGUAUCAGUUUGGGAUUUUUCAGGAUAUUAACCCAAUAAUGAAUGACGCAUUUUAUUUUUCUUGAUUUUUUCUUUGAUUAUUUGAAUUUCAUAAGUAUUGUCAUUACUAGAACUCAUAUAAAUUACAUUUUCAUAUUAGUUAUAUGUGAAACAAGAUAAGGAGUUUCAGCAAACAUGAGUUUCAACAAAUUUAGAAAUAUAGAACUCAUGUGAAGCAUGCUCGAGUGCACUAGGUAUUUAAGAAAGAGUAAUUAUAGCAACUCCGUCGGAUGUAAUAGUUUAGUUACUCAAGAUAUCACAAAUUGUCCCACAAAUAAGUUUCAUAAUUGUCCCACAAAUAUGUUCCAUAAUUCAUAUAACACUAUCAUACAAAAUAUACUGUUCCGAGGCAUGCUCAGACCAUCAAAGUAGACGUAAUAAAAUAUUAAAUCACAGCAUGUUGCAUCACGACUCCAAAUUCACAUCACAACGGUUCAAGGAUUAGUAGCAGCCGCAGGCAUGUCCUUCGCAACGAAAGGCAAAGUUGGCUUAGGGAAAUCGGGGAGAUGAGGCAAUUCGGGCACUUCCGGCAAUUCCGGCUUCGGUAUUGUUGGUAAUUCAGGCUUUGGCAGUUCCGGAAGUGGCGGCAAUUCAACUUUUGGCAGUGAUGGCAAUUCUGGCUUUGGCAGGCUUGGGAUGUCGGGAAGGUGUGGCAAUCCGGGCUUCGGCAGUUCGGGCACCUCGGGCAACGUCUCCUCCAAAAUUCGGCUAGCUCCAACCGAGUUCUCGCCGGUCAUCAAGGACAAAGCAAAGACAAACAAUGCCAAAAGAUGCACAAGUCCGCGAUAGUUCGCCAUCGCAGGACCGAUCGACAAGCAAAUUUAAAAACUUCAAGUGAAGAAUCGAUGGAUCUCAAAUGAGGAGGUGCAGGUGUGCUUGAGCAAUGGCUUGAUGGAGGGUUUAUAAAGAGGAGGGACGUGGGGAUUAGGGAGAUUACAAGUAUGGUUUGGUGGGACUUUGUCGAAGUGUUAGUUCAACUUCUAGACCAAUCUCAUUUUCGUAUGUUCAACAACAACAUGGAGCAGAUAAUUCCAGAAAGGACCUUGCCAAUUAUUGGCUUUCAACGCUUGUAACCAUCAGUCGUGCUGGUAUUAUAGCUUUUGUUUUGGUUUUCCUAUAAAUCGUUAAUUGGUAACCGUACUACAAUCAUGAACUACGAUCAUUGUAAAUGAUAUCCUAAAAAUGACCAUCCCGAUACACGCACAUAUAUAUAGCUGAUUUACAUAUGAAAUUAAAAACUGAGACUAGGUAAAACUAUCUAACGUCUUGAAAUAUCUUUUCCGCAAUUCAUCUCAUGUGAUGGAAUGAUAGCCAAGCUUGCAAGGUUUUUCAAUUAUUUGAUAAAUUUAAGACUAUGUUCUUUGACUAGUAGUACACGUGAUUGAUGAACGAAUAAAAGAUCAUCAAAUAUUUGAUAACCAACGCAAUACUACCAUAGAAGUCUCAAAACAUAUCUCAAAUAUGAUGUAAUCGUAUGCUUUUAUGGAGCAGAAUAUAAAGUAUAUAUGUAUCUAUUACGGACCAGUUUGAAAUUGGUCUACUAUAUUAUAAUGACAUUCGAAAAUUAAAUGAAAAACUACUUUUCUUACCGAAAUUGAAUCUUGAGAAUUUUUCAAGGAAACUAAAAAUAUAAAGAAAAUACUCAAAAAAUUCUUAACCGGAAUACAUAUGUGAAAAGUAAGUCCAUUCAAUUUAACGAGAAAGACUCUUUUCUUUUCCAAAUAGAUUGAUAAGACUUUUUGCGGAAAAUAACAAUUUAAAGGAAAGUAUCUUAAGUCUCAAUCUAAAUAUAUUUAGGUGAUACUGUGUAGUAUUACAUAUAGAAAGAAGUCUUUUUAUUUUUUUCAAGGAAAUUUUGAGAGAGAAGAUUAUUAAAGAUUAACAUGUAUAUCAAAUAUUAUAUAAUGUAAUAAGUAUUGAAAUUAACUUCAUGGGAAUGAGAAAAUGUUUUGAUUAUUAAUUUAAGUAAAAUUGACUCUAUGAGACUCGAUAUGUGAUGUGGUAUAAAAAAGAAAAAAAAUGUAAAUAUAUCUAUAUUUGAGAGAGAGAGAGAGAGAGAGAUAAACUUUUCACUCGAAUUAGAAGUUGGAGCUAAAUAGAUUGACAUUAGGCGAAACAAUAUAUCAAGAAUAGAAAAAAAAAAUGAUCUAUAACGGCAAAGUUGUCUAUACAAUACAAUGUAUGCCAUGUUAUAGAAAACAUCGAUAAUAUUUAACAUAUAUCGAUACUAUAACAUAGAGCUUAAAAUUACUUCAAUUCAAUUCAAUACAAAAUGAAAUAAAAACAAACAUCAGAGUUGAUAUUACUUAAUUGAAGAAUGAUGAUUGCUUGAAACAUGAAAAAAUAGUUGUGUCAAAUUAAAAGGGAAAAUACUCUAUGAUAAAUUCAAGGGAAAAUUCCAAAAAGGUACCCGAAAUACCCUAUUUUUUUCAAAUAAGAGCCUAAAGUGAAUCUUAUUUCAAAUAAGGACUGAAGUGCAUUUGUUUUCUCAAAUAAGGGUUUAAAGUGGAUGUUAUUUCAAAUGAGGACCUAAAGUAAUUAUGUUUAUUUCAAAUAAGAGCAUGAAGUGGCUAUAUCCGUUUGAAAUAAGAACCCGUCUUUCUAGCGAUCAAUGGUAUUUUCGUCAUUUGUCAUUUGUCCAUUUUUUUUUUUUUUUUUUCCAUUUUUUUGACUAGCUCUUGUUCCUCUUCGCCAAUGGCCAGCCGGCCAUUGGCAAUGCCCACAAAGGGCUGAGCAAGAGAGUGAGGGUCACCACACUCAAGCAAGGCUGUCCGUCACUUGUGGGCAGGGUGGGUGGCCCUUGCUGGUGGGGGCGACCCUCGCUUAGCCCUUUGUGGGCAUCACUGGCAAAAAGGAAGAAGAAUAACCAAAAGAAAAAAAGGAAAGAAAAAAAAAGUGAAAUGCAAAAUGACAAAAAUACCCUUGGCUGGUUGGAAAAUUUAGCCACUCAGCGAUCGGCGAGAUCAGGUCUUUAUUUGAAACAACCAAAGCCACUUCAGGCCCUUAUUUGAAACAACUAAGGCUACUUUAGGUUCUUAUUUGAAACAAAAUCCAUUCCGGGCCCUCAUUUGAGAAAACAAUAACACUUCGGGUCUUUUUUUGAAAUUUUCCCUAAAUUCAAUUGAAGUAAAUAAGAUGUUCAAUAAGUGGAUUUAUAAUUUAUAUGUAAGAUAAAUGAACCUAUAUCACUCGAUCCUAUAACAAACAUGUAAUUUUGCUUAUUUUUCCUUCAAAUAUUUAAAUUCUAUGAUAAGUUAAAUGUGUAUAAAGUAGAUAAUGAGUUUUAAUAAAUAUAAAUUUGAUAUAUUUUGAAAUAUAAAACACAUGAAGCAUCAGAAAGUGUACUAGUUGUUUAAGAAAGAGUAACUAUAGCAUACUCCGUCGGUGUAAAAGAAGAGUUACACAAGAUAUCAUAAACUAUCAUACGAAUAAGUUCCAUAAUUCAUAUCACAAACUGUCAUACAAACGACUAUAUAUGGCAUAUAACAUUCUGAGGUGAACACUGACCAUUACAAUAGAAGUAAUAGAAUACUAAUUCAUAUCAUAUCGAAUCCCGACUACAAGUUCACAUCACAACGGUUCAAGGACUAGUAGCAGCGAUAGACGUGUCCUUCGAAACGGCAGGCAAUGUUGGCUUAGGGAAAUCGGGAAGGUGAGGCAAUUCAGGCACUUCUGGCUUUGGUAAAGUUGGAAAUUCAAGCUUUGGAAGUUUGGGCACUUCCGGCAAUUCUGGCUUCGGUAUUGUUGGAAAUUCAGGCUUUGGCAGCUCGGGAAGUGGCGGCAAUUCGACUUUUGGCAGAGAUGGCAGUUCUGGUUUUGGCAGGCUUGGGAUAUCGGGAAGCUGAGGCAAUUCUGGCUUCGGCAGUUCAGGCACUUCAGGCAACGUCGCGUCCAAAAGUUGGCGAGCUCCAACGCGGUUCUGGCCGAUUGUCAAAGACAGAGCAAGGACAAACAAUGACAAAAGAUUAGUGAGUCUGCAAUAGUUCGCCAUCGUGGAAUUGAGCGACUAGCAAACCGAAAAACUUUGAGUGAAGAAGCGGUGUGUUUGAGCAAUGGCUUGAUGGAGGGUUUUUAAAGAGGAGGGACGUGGGGAUUGGGGAGAUUACAAGUAUGUUUUGGUGGGAAAAAUAAUCUAAGUGUUGGUUCAACUUCUAAACCAAUCUCAUUUUCUUUUGUUCAACAACAAGAUGGAGAAGACUCCAAAAAGUUAUCUUGCCACUUCUGGGCUUUCUAAGUCUGUAACUAUCAGCUGUGCUAGAUUUCUCAGCUACGCGGGAAAAAGAAACGAAAGGAGAUGGUUCAUGAUUUCACUCUAUGUACAAUAGUAGGACGAAGUCCGGAGUUUUGGUUGAAGAAGUCAAUAAUUUAAGGAUAAAAAUCUAAGUUUUGUUAGCGAUCAUUGUACAUGAAAUGCAUACUCAUCUAAAACUUGUCUAAAUUUAUUAAGUGCAUUUAAUAAAUUCAUUAACCUUCUCUUAAGUUUUCCGUUCCCUUUCUCUAUUAUAUCCAUUCACGUGCACUCAAUACUUUUCAAUUUCAAUUUUUAUGUAUCCAUUUGCAUGCUAGAGUUAAGGACGAUGGUCACUUACAUUCAAUUUGUUUGUUUUUUUUUUUUUUUGGGGGUAUGCCUGGCCUUUUUUUCACCUAUAAGAGGGUAGAAUAUUUGUUAUUCUGGUCUUUAUGUGCAUUUCAUCUCCUUUUUUUCUCCUCAGAAAUGGGUCUUAGUUGCAAAAUUAAUUCAUCAGAAAUCGAUUUUUCUUUUUCCAAUUUGAUCUUGACUUGCUAUUGAAUGGAUAAUCGGUUAUCAUCACUCCCAAUUAGAUUAGAAAUAUGACUACAUCUCAAUAUAUCAAUUUACAUCCGAACUGUAAAAAAUGAGACUCGGCAAUAAUCUAUUUCUUAUGUAUGGAUCAUCUUUCUUACCGGUAUCUCGAAAAGCAAAUGAUUUUUUUUUUUGGCAUAAACAUUUUUGUUGAGUGUCUUAAAAAAUUAACUACAUUUAAAAAUGCAAAAAUACAAAGAGAUAAGAGGAAUGGUGAGGGAUUUUGAUUUCACAUGAAUUAGCAAAAACGAUUGAGAAUUUAUGAGCUGAAACUUAUUGAGAACUUAUGGGCUAAAACUUUCUUCUAUGCAAUCCAUCUUAAAUGACAAUAUAAUAGCCAACCUGGCAAGGCUUUUUUUUCUUUUUUAAACUAUUUAUGAAUUUUAUAUUAUGCUUUCCAGAUAGUAGUGUACGUAAUUGAUGAACAAACAAAAGAUCAAAAAAAUAUUUAAUAACCGACUUAAUACUACCAUAGAAGUUUCAACACAUAUCACAAAUAUGAUAUAACCAUAUUCUUGCAUGUGGUAGCUUAUUAACUAUAAAUGUAUCUAUAACACACGGGUUUGAAAACUAGUCUAAUAUAUAAUAGGGGCUUCUGAACAUUAAAUGCAUUCAAUUUAAUGAGAAACAUUCUUUUCUUAUCCAAAAUGAAGUUUUAGAUUUUUUUUUUCCCUUGACAUAGAAUUAGUCGCAGAAAAGAGUGGGAAUAUGCGAAACAAGAUCCAAGAAUAGAAAAAAAAAUGAUUUAAUAACAGUAAAGUUGACUAUGAUCUGCAUAAUAUAUUAUUUGAUAGAAAAAGUACAUAAUGACUAACAUGCAUCAACACCAUAACAUAUAGCGAAAUAUUACUUUGGUUUAAUCAGAUACAAAAUUUAGUAAAGUACAAAUAUUAGAGUUGAUUUUGCUUGACCAAAGAAUGACGAUUGCUUAAAAAUGACAAUAUUUGUGCCAAAUUAAAAGGAAAAAUAAUCUACGGUAGUUCAAUUUUAAUAAAGUAUGAUAUAUAAGAUGUUUGAUGACUUAAAGUGUAUUUAUAAUUUGUAUGUAAGACAAGUGUACCUAUCUCAAUCCAUCAUACAAUAAAAGACGCAUUUUUCUGAUUUUUUCUUCAAUUGUUUAGAUUAUGUCACCGUUAUCACUCUAAAAUUUUAAAUUCCCAUAUUAGUUAGAAGUGAAAAAAGUGGACAAGGAAGUAACAUAGAUUUCUUCUAUUUUGAAAUAUUAAACUCGUACAGAACAUAAGGGAGUGCACUAGCUAUAUUAAAAAGAGUAAUAAUAGUAUACACUAUCGAUGUAAAAAGAUAGUUACACAAAACAUCACAAACUGUGAAGGAGUUCCAUAAUUCAUAUCACUAAAACAAGUAUUGUAUAGUGUUCUGAGGUAUGCUCAGACCAUUAAAAUAGAAGUAAUAAAAAACUGAAUCGCAUCAUGUUGUAUAACGACUCCAAAUUCACAUUAAUGGCUCAAGGGCUAGUAGCAGCGACGGCUGUGUCCUUGGGAAUCGUGGGAACGAAAGGCAAUGUUGGCUUGGGAAAAUCAGGAAGAUGAGUCACUUCGGGCACUACCGGCAAUUCCGGCUUUGGUAUUGUUGGAAAUUCGGGCUUUGGUAGCUCAGGAAGCGGCGGCAAUUCGACUUUCGGCAGUGACGGGAAUUCUGUCUUUGGCAAGCUAGGGAUGUCAGGAAGUUGAGGUAAUUCGGGCUUCGGCAAUUCCGGCACUUCUAAGGACUCCGGCUUCGGUGUUGCUGGAAAUUCAGGCUUUGGUAGUUCAGGAAGCGGUGGCAAUUCGACUUUCGGCAAUGAUGGGAAUUCUGGCUUUGGCAAGCUAGGGAUGUCAGGAAGGUGAGGCAAUUCAGGCUUCGGUAGUUCGGGCACUUCGGGCAAGGUCGCCUCCAAAAGUCGGCGGGCUCCAACUGGCUUCUCACCAAUCAUCAAAGACAGAGCGAGGACAAACAAUGCCAAAAGGUGCGCGAGUCCAUGAUGGUUCGUCAUUGGAGAAUCAAUCGACUAGCAAAUUCAAAAGCUUUGAGUGAAGAAGCGGCGAAUCUCGAGUGAGAGAAGGUGCAGGUGUGCUUGAGCAAUGGCUUGAUGGAGGGCUUAUAAGGAGGAGGGACGUGGAGGAUUGGGGAGAAUGCAAGUAUGGUUUGGUGGG
rnacentral:lncRNA from 1 species